UAUAUCCCUGUCUAGUGGGCUUUUGCUACUUUUUGGGACUUACUGUACAUGUCUUGGGACUCCAAGUCAUACCAAAGAGAUGAUAUUUCUAAGAAGGCUGACAGACAUAAUCCUUCCAGCAUCCCUUGAGAGGCUGAAGAUGUCCAUAGGAGAUAUGAAAACCAUUAGACCUGUAAGAAUACGGUAGAGUACUGUAAAUUAAACUGAAAGAAAAAUUUGUGGCUCUCCCCCUCCAUCAUCCCUACCAGGAACCGCCCACAUGGACCUGCCCCUUCCAUCCACAACACAUUUAAACUGUGUAAGGGAUUGCCGGCCGUGUAUCCCAGCCAACACCCCCAAACCGCCAGAUGGAGCCAUCCCUGCAACAUGAAAGGGCCCUGAAUUCCAGCAGGGCAUCCUGGAACUUGGAGUCUUUCACCACAACCUUGCUGGAUACCAUGGGGGCCACCGGAGGACGCUGCAGGGAGGCCCAGGGACUUAUAUUUUCCUUAUAGCCCGGAAUUAAUUGACGAUUGCGGAAAUAGAAGGAAUGAUAUAC